UAGCCUGGUGGAUAAGGCUACGGAUUGCCAAUCCGGAGACGGCGGGUUCGACUCCCGU
rfam:Aedes albopictus isolate Foshan contig99045, whole genome shotgun sequence.